GGAUCACGGCCUCUCUGCUGGGCCCAGGUUAGGUUCGCUCUCUUUGAAAUGUGCCUGUUGCUCAGCUGUGCCCUCAAGCCGGGGUCCACCUGUGUUUCUAACAGAAUCAUCUACAGCGUCUUUUCUGCUCACCGUACUCCAUGGGGCUGCUCUCUCCAAGCGCAUGCGGCAAUUCCCAUCUCUGCUACCUGUUUUGCACUGAUAUUUACUAGGGUGAAAUAAAGGUUAAGACACGUGGGUAUUGUCCUGACAUCUGCCCUUUCUCUAUGGAAAAUCAUAGAUCCUCUAAAUACACUCGCCCCCUGACCUAUGCUGGAGGGACAUCCUGGUAAGCCCUUUGUAAAUCGAGAACACUGCAAACCAGAAGUGCGUUGAUUCACUUAACCUACUGAACGUCCUAGCUUAGCAACAGCCCACUGUGGAGUGUUGGCUUUUGUUUUUGUGAACACGUGACCAGCCGGGGAGCUGGGAGUCCCUGCUGCACCCCAGAGAGGAUCCCAGUGUGUACUCCUGUCCAGGGGAAAGAUCAAAUUCAUAGUAUCGUUUCUACUGAGUGCAUAUCAUUUUCCCACCUUUGUGAAACGGAAUUUUAAGCUAGGGACUGUUUGUCCCCAUCUUCCUAAGUUUCUGGACACUGUAUUGCAGUGGGGACAAAUCUCCAUUCUCUCUCCACUGGGAACCACAGAGAAGUCUGCAUAACCUAACCCCAACUCAGUAACAGGCAAACUUCCCAUUCUCUUUCUAAAAAUAAGCUCCCUGGCUUCAUCCUUCCUGACAUAGAAAGGAAGGGACCAUCAUGCACACCUCAGCAGACCCCCGGAGAGGUGUGGCUGGUUCCUCUCCUUGGCUGCAAUGUCAUGGUCCCUCAGCUCGUGUCCCGUCAGCAGCAGAGGUGAGCCCUCAGGAGUCAGGCUGGGAGGAGAAGCUGUCCUGAGGGUUCCCAACAGCAGGGCUGGGCUGGGGGUUGGCGGGGCAGGCUCUAUUUCCACAGUGGGACCUUUUCCCACCAGUUUUCUGACAGUCCCCUCUCUUCCUCUAGGUUGGCUUUUUCUUCCUCUGGUGAAGAAAGGAAUUGGUCAAGUGUCAGAGGCAGAUAAAGUGAAGGGUGACGUUUCCUGACAUUGGCUGCUGGGGUCAGCACAGGAGUGACUUGGUC
rnacentral:lncRNA from 1 species